UGUGUGACUGACUCGUGUUUGUCUUGCAGCCUGCAAGUUAAUAUGUCACAAGAAAUGCUUGACCAAAAUCAUCACUGACUGCUCAACACGCUGUGCCCGGCAGGAUGACAGCGUACCCGGUGGCCUUCACUUCGGGGUCCACGUUUGCGUCCUGACCAGCAAGGCCAACCCCGUGCCCAAGGUGGUGGAGCUGCUGCUGAUGCACGUGGAGAUGAACGGCCUCUACACCGAGGGCAUCUAUCGCAAGUCGGGCUCCGCGUGCCGUGCCCGGGAACUCCAUCAAAUCAUGGA